GACAGAGGGCCCAGGUUGGAGCCAAGUGUGAACUCAACCUGAGGAAUUAGGCCUCCAUGAUUGAGCUUGAGCAAAAGAAAAAUUGGAAAACAGAGACAUUUAAGUUUGCAUUUUCAUUAAAAUAGGACUUUACAAAAUAGAUCUUUUCUUUCUUUCUAGUCAAAAGAAGAGGAGAGGUUGCAUUGAAAAGACUUUGGGGGAACAUAAUACAGUGGCUGUAACAUUGCUCUCCUUGAAUUGAUUUGCCUGUGCGGUCCUGCAGAUCAGAAGUCUGGAUGACAAGGCUGCUUCUCUGCUCACAGAAUUGAUGAGAGCCCGGCUGAGCCCACACUGGAAACAGAGGACCGAGGGAGCCUAUGGAAGACAGAAAAUCAGCAGGUGUGGAGCAUGAGAAUAACCCAGAGAAGGACAA